rnacentral:rRNA from 1 species
UCGCUGCCCGGAACUGAACCACUUCGAGAAGACUGGGGACUGAGAUCUUAAGGUCUUCACGGACUUUUUGAUUUUGGAAACCAAUCUAAUCGCAGUGGUUUGAACCGGGCAA